rnacentral:rRNA from 1 species
GACGAACGCUGGCGGCGUGCUUAACACAUGCAAGUCGAACGGAAAGGCCCUGCUCUUGUGGGGUGCUCGAGUGGCGAACGGGUGAGUAACACGUGAGUAACCUGCCCUUGACUUUGGGAUAACUUCAGGAAACUGGGGCUAAUACCGGAUAGGAGCUCCUGCUGCAUGGUGGGGGUUGGAAAGUUUCGGCGGUUGGGGAUGGACUCGCGGCUUAUCAGCUUGUUGGUGGGGUAGUGGCUUACCAAGGCUUUGACGGGUAGCCGGCCUGAGAGGGUGACCGGCCACAUUGGGACUGAGAGACGGCCCAGACGCCUACGGGAGGCAGCAGUGGGGAAUAUUGCACAAUGGGCGGAAGCCUGAUGCAGCAACGCCGCGUGCGGGAUGACGGCCUUCGGGUUGUAAACCGCUUUCGCCUGUGACGAAGCGUGAGUGACGGUAAUGGGUAAAGAAGCACCGGCUAACUACGUG